CAAUAGCGUAUAUUAAAGUUGUUGCAGUUAAAAAGCUCGUAGUUGGAUUUGUGGUGUACUUCGGCGGCCCGUCACUAUGUGAUGGAGCUUGCUGAAGUCGCCAUCCUUGGGUGGAUCCUGUGUGGCAUUAAGUUGUCGUGCAGGGGAUGCCCAUCGUUUACUGUGAAAAAAUUAGAGUGUUCAAAGCAGGCUUAUGCCGUUGAAUAUAUUAGCAUGGAAUAAUAAGAUAGGACCUUGGUACUAUUUUGUUGGUUUGCGCACCAAGGUAAUGAUUAAUAGGGACAGUUGGGGGUAUUCGUAUUCCAUUGUCAGAGGUGAAAUUCUUGGAUUUCUGGAAGACGAACUACUGCGAAAGCAUUUACCAAGGAUGUUUUCAUUAA
rnacentral:rRNA from 1 species